AAGUUCUCAGCAACACCACGUCAACUUAACAAUGGAAAUGUCGAUGGAUCUAAAACAAUGAGGGGAAACUAUAAAAAGGAGGACUAUGGAAUGUAGAAUUUUAAAUCAUCUUUUCCUGACAUAUUAUAGCCUCGGCCCGUUUGGUAGCGGUCCGCACAGAGACAAACGCGCCUGCGAGCUGUGAGCAAAUCGGCGGACGUGGAGGGAAACGUGCGCGACUCUCGCCAGUCGGAGUCGCCCUUUCUGACGUUGGCUUGCAAGUGAACUCAAGUGAGCAGAUUUGGCCGAGAAAUGAAAGAAGAAGCCGGUAAAGUAAACAGAAAGAGAUACAGUAGUAUCCGUGUCUUUCGAAGAUGAAGCAAUUUGGACAAGAGAAAUUACUCCCAAGCGACGUGGACGAAGAAGCUGUGGUGCAUGCUAAGUCGUCAAAAAAAACAGUCGAUACAAGAAAGCCGUUGAAGCAUUUGAACAAGUAGCACCGUGCUUUGCAGAUGUCAAGAUCCAGCCGCCGAUUCUCCAGAAUUCGCCGCUCUUUCUGCGGGAGGCGUGUGCCAUGCGGCAAGAAAACGUGUUGGGCUUACAAAGGCAAGUGAAUGUUGCUGACAGUGGCACUCACCGAUAUAGUCCUCCAGUCUCCCUCCAGGAAGUUACGCAAAGGGGCGAGGAAGGUCGUGGCAGAGGUUUGAAGGAACUCUCGCUCGGCAGUUCCCAGCCUUUUCUGGUAUUCGCCGACUGUAAUCAGGGUGCUACCUAGAGUUGGCAGCAAGCGCAAACAAACUCAAAUUAUGUUCAGAUGGUGUAUAACGAUCAAUCGGUUGUCGAGUGGAUUGCCCAAAUCAUGAUGUUUAAUCACCACCGCACACUGAAUAUUAUUAAUUUGGCAACGUCAAUGGCAGCAUCCUACAAAGUCUCAUCGUGUUCAACUGACCGUACGGUGUCCCGGAGCCAAAUUCAUUGGCGGCGUCCAGCAUGUAUUGGCCGAGCAAUUCUGCAUUUGUUGUCCUGGAAGGAAGCUUUUUCUCCAGUUUGUCAUAGAUGAACUCCUCUAUUCGAGCACCUACGUAGACCAUGAAAGAGGACAGACUUUUAAUUGAAAUGUCCGAUAAGUGUGUUUAAUUCUUAGGUUUCUCUGAAGUCAAAUUAAAAUGUCAAAGAAACUAUGUUCACCACAAGGUCGUCGCAGAAUAUACCUGGUGAAAUAUUGUCAACGGCAGAAAUGGGACACUUAAAUGUUUUUCGUCAAUGCUCACAUCUUCUUUCUUUCUUCAAUAUACGAAUAUGACUUGCAUUGGAAAAUAAAGUCCGAACUCACCAGUGUGGUCAACUGAAGCGUGAAGGGUUAAAAAAAAAAAACAUAGUUAAUAACACACAUCUCGACCACUACACUAUUUCUACCAAUCUCCUUUCCGCCAUCCACUUGGAGAAACAUGCGCUGCCUCGUUUUAAAAGAGUGUGGAUACUCGACUGGCCUGCUUGCAGUCCAGGCCAUGUCUCCCAUUGAAAAUGAUGAAGUGCAAAAUAUGACAAUGGAGAGCCGUGGCAGUUGAGCAACUAAAAUUGUACAUCAGGCAAGAAUGGCAAUGCAUUUUACCUACAAAGCUUCUACAAUUGGUGUUCUCACUUCCCAAAUCCUUCUGGGAUGAAGUGUUGUUAAAAUAUAGCUUUUUAAGGACCCCUGCUGCACAGUGAGAAGUAUUGCAGUUUGUAUUUGAGAUUGAAAUAAUGUAAACUUCACUCCAAAUUCUGUGUAUUUGAUAAGCUAAGAAAACCUUGAUUCGUCUCGCAAUGGAGACAUUCCCAAUUCACAGCAGCAAAGUUAUGAAAGAAUAAACUAAUCAUAAUACUCUAUACUGCAAAUAAUCUGAAUGACUCAACUGGACAGAAUUUAUCAUUUGACAAAAUUAGUGAAAUGAUAAAUACUUGUUCUUUUCCUAUAUCCUCCAUUAUGAAAGGGUGGAACCAACAUUUUUACGUGUUUCUCUACUUCAAUAAUUAAUGUGGCACCGCCUCUUUAAAGUAGAACUCCCGCCUUUGACUCAUUCCUUUUUCUCUGGAUGUUCAGGGCAAGGUAAGCAUUUUUAGAGCUGGAAUAAAAAAAACGUUUUUAUUUCCAAGUUUAAGUAUUUUAAUACACUGUUGUGUCAUAAUUUGUGUAGGGACACGCUGAAUCACUCUAAUUAAGGGGAAGACAUUGUUUUCUGCUCUUUUCGUCAUGCUUUGUGAUUGAGACGAUUAAACUAUGUUUGGGCUACUGAA